GCACGGUUGCAGGUGGUGCAGCAAGUGCCAGCAGUGUCAGCAAUGAGGAGCUGCAGGUUGCCACUGCGCGGGUGACACUGGAAACAGGGCAGGUGGGCGCGGCGUCUACUGCACAACACGUGCAAAACGCGCUCUUGGCGUGUUCCGCGUGUGCACAGCAGGUGUUCGACCGAAUGCCACUACAGGCUAGAGAGUUUGGUUUGAGGUGUAAAUUAACAGGAUGGCUAAGCUGGUUACUCAAGCUCUGAUGGACAUGCUGGUUUCGCAGGGAAAGGAUUUCCACAAUGCAUUUUAAAAGUAUGCCAGUUCAGGUCAUGCACCUAGAAUGUUUGGUAAAAUUCCACGGGCCUCUAGGUAUUCUUGUUAGCCACCAAAUUUUCCAGGUUGAGGUCUCCUUGAAAGCUAACAAAGAUCGCAAGGUUAAUUUUGGCAAAACAGAAACUUCCUGGUGUAAUUUUUGCAAAAGUGCAUUCCUCGACAGAAACAAAAUGAUGUUAUAACAUAGUCUCAAACAAUGCCACUCGGCUGAAAUUCUAGACUUAAGGGUUUUGCAGGGUCCUUUGUAAGAAGUAAAAAAAUUAAAA
rnacentral:lncRNA from 1 species